ensembl:lncRNA
CCACACAUGUGAAACGUGCUGCAAUUAAGCUCGCCUCUCCAGUAUGGAGGAUGAUGGCUGAAAUAUAAACACAGGAAGGUUGACCUUCCCACAAAGCUGGCAAGUCAGGUGUCAUGUGCUUUCCUUUUUGUUGGUAGAUCUGCAGUUUCAUCUAUUUUCCUCCAAUUUUCCAGGACCUUGGCUAAGGGCAUCCCCUUUCCUACACCAGAUAUAUUUCCCAUUUUUAGCCUGCUCCCAAGCCUGAAUCUAGGAGUGGAAACUGAAGACUCGCUGGUUAGCACCUCCCAUCCCCAAAGUCCCAGUGAACUCACCCACUGCUGGCAGCCAGAUGCUUUGAGGCGGGAGGGUCUGAUGGCCAUCACCUAUAGGGUCCCACCUGGGUCUCCAGAAACCGUGGCAGCACUUGCACUCCUGUCACCUUGUGCUGAAGGAAUCAUGCUGCUGCCCCCUCCAACAUUCUCUGGUUCAAGCUUUGACUUCUGCUUUCAGUAGGUCACUCUGACUGUCCCUUAUCCUCAUUUGUUUGCAGUUCUUGUGAUUUACAGCCCAAGGCGAACAUCUCUUAAGAAGAAUUCCGUUACUUUCAAUCCCAUAGUUUUCAUGAGUUGCCACAACCCCAUCCUUGCAUAGUUCCAUCUCAAAUUGUCCUUUUUAACCAAUCUAAUUUUCUGGGCCUGUGUCUCUCCCUCUUCAUUCACCCGUUCAUUCCCAGUUCCAGGUGGUGCUUCCUGGGCAGCAUCUUUCCAGAACAGGCAGUACUUCUCCACGUGUUGCUAUACAGAUCUUAUCCCGUCAUUCUUGAUGUCUCCUGAAACUUAUCCAGUUGAAUCCUCUUCUUCGCUGUUAACAGCGAGCUUUUGCAACGAGGAGAAAGCUACGUUUCUAUACAACCUCAUUUACUUUAGUUACUAGUGCUAAGUCUCUUCCUACAGCAUAACACCAGGGUUGUCCAGUCCCAUGUGCAGAAUCAGGCAGUUGCUCUUGUUAAAUUUCCCACGUUUGCUGAUUGCCCUCUCAUUAGACAAGAUUUCUCUGCAAGGCUUCUACACUUUAGGCUGUGUGAGCUUCACAGGUUGUGAUCGUUACUGCUGCACGCACUGAUUCCAGCAGCCUGAGGGAAGCCCUGACGAUGGGUCACCUGCAGAAGGAAAAUCAUGGAGAUAGCUGCCAGAUCAUGUCAACUCCCAGAAGAGUGACCACCCUCUCUGUGAAGAACCUUUUUCCAGUAUCCAAUCGGAAAUCCCCCUGACGCAGCUUCAUGCAGUUCCCCCAGGUCCUACUGCUGGUCACCAGGUGAAAGUGAUCUCUGCUUUUCUCCCUGUUUCCUACUGUGAGGAAGCUGUAGGCCACAGUGACGUUAGCUCUUGAUAUCCUGUUCUUUCUGCUGAACAAACCAGAUGACCUCAUACGUACUGCCAUAGGCAAUGCUAUGCCUGAUAGCCAGCAGGAUACAGUUGGCCUUUCUGAUGACCAGGGCACACUGUUGACUCACAUUCAACUUUGUCACCAACCAGAACCCCCUGAACGUUUCCACAGAGCUCUUCUCCAUCCGCUCCUGCCCCAGUCUGUACAUACAUCCAUGCUUCUCCUGUCCUAGGUGCAGAAUCCAUCACUUGCUCUUGCUAAAUUUCAUACAGCUGAUGAUUGCUCGGCCCUCUAAUUCUUGGACUCUGACUGCAGCCUGAUUGCGCAGCCAGCCUCCUGUAUCUCGCUUUAUGCUGUCGUGUAAGAGGAUGUAUUCUAACUGUUGAGUCCUGGCCUGAACCACUGACUGAGACCUGGGGAAAAGACUCGGGCAGCCCUGAGAGCACAGGAGAAGGCAAUCCACCUGUGUGACCAGAAGGGCUGGAGCCUGGCUGCACCUCCCUUAGACCUCGCUGAAGGGCUGACUGCCACCGGGGAAGGUUUUCUUUCCAGAGAUCCCUCCUCUGCAGAGUUUUCCCCCCGUGAGCCUAGAUCUCUGGAGACAGGCGAGCAGUCCUCUUUUCCUUCCCUUAUAACACCUUUCUAUUGUGUUCAGUCCCUUUCUCAUUACACCUCUUGUAUCA